rnacentral:rRNA from 1 species
AGUGAACGCUGGCUGUAGGCCUAACACAUGCAAGUCGAACGGCAGCACAGUAAGAGCUUGCUCUUACGGGUGUCGAGUGGCGGACGGUUGAGGAAUACAUCGGAAUCUACUUUUUCGUGGUGGAUAACGUAGGGAAACUUACUCUAAUACCUCAUACCACCUUCGGGUGAAAGCGGGGUAUCUUCCUACCUUGCGCGAUUGAAUUAGCCGAUGUCGUGUUUGCUAGUUGGCAGGGUAAAGGCCCACCAAGGCGACGAUCCGUAGCUGGUCUGUGAGGAUGAUCGGCCAUACUGGAACAGAGACACGGGCCAGACUCCUACGGGAGGCAGCAGUGAGGAAUAUUGGACAAUGGGGACAAGCAUGAUCCAGACAGACAGCGUGGGUGAGGAAGGUCUUCGGGUUGUAAAGCACACUUAUUGGGAAAGAAAAGAAGCAGGUUAGUAUCACGCUGUUGUGACGGUACCAAAAGAAUAAGCACCGGCUAACGUCGUG